rnacentral:rRNA from 1 species
CCAAUAGCGUAUAUUAAAGUUGUUGCAGUUAAAAAGCUCGUAGUUGAAUUUCGGGAUCAAAUUGUCGGUCGUGCCUCGGUACGCACUGGUAUUAUUGGUUCCUACCUUCUGAAGAACCGCGAUGUCAUUAAUUUGGUGUCGUGGGGAAUCAGGACUGUUACUUUGAAAAAAUUAGAGUGUUUAAAGCAGGCUUACGCUUGAAUACAUUAGCAUGGAAUAAUGAAAUAGGACGUUUGAUUCUAUUUUGUUGGUUUCUAGGAUUGACGGAAUGAUUAAUAGGGAUAGUUGGGGGCAUUAGUAUUCAAUUGUCAGAGGUGAAAUUCUUGGAUUUAUUGAAGACUAACUACUGCGAAAGCAUUUGCCAAGGAUGUUUUCAUUAAUCAAGAACGAAAGUUAGGGGAUCGAAGACGAUCAGAUACCGUCGUAGUCUUAACCAUAAACUAUGCCGACUAGGGAUCGGAUGAUGUUAAUUUUUUAAUGACUCAUUCGGCGCCUUACG